AACAUCGCGCACCUGCGGGAACCUGCGGAAGGAUCAUUACAGAGAACUUCUCUUCUCAACCAUUGGCGAACUCAACCCCCCCCCAGACGACGUUCCUUCGGCGGAGCGGCCCCCGUGGCUGCGCCGCCGGAGGGCGCUACAAACCCUGUAUUUUGGUGGCCUCUCUGAGUAUGAUUUUCGCAAAUCAGUCAAAACUUUCAACAACGGAUCU
rnacentral:misc_RNA from 1 species